UAAAUUAAAAAUGUUAAUAAAAAAGAUAAGAAGAACAGCAAAUGUCUUUUCACUAAUCGGUUUCUUGGAAAUAAUAGAAACAUAUAAAAGAUUGGAUAAGAGUAAUCGGAUUUUAUUGGAAGGAAAAGAAAGAAAAGUAGAACCCAUAUGUAAGAUAGGCAUACCACUAUCAUUAUCUAAUUUCACUGUUUCAUCACUUGUGUAAGUUGCCUUUGAUGCUAAAUUGUAACGAUAUGAGGUGAGAAGCAUCACUACCAGGCUACCACAAGGGAUCCUUAACAGUGGAAGGAGUGUCCAACAGAGAAGGUCUGUCGGUAUUUUCUGGACAUGGGCAUUGAGAGCGAUUAGCAGAAACAGUAGUCGAAUUAUCCUAUUCAAAAAUGUGUCUGCAAAAUUUCUGUUUACACAGUUUUGCGAGUGAUGAUUUAAGAAACCACUCGUGUUCGGAUAAGAGGAUUUGUGAAGAAAGCUAAAGACAGAUUUGCAGAGAUUUACGGGAUGACAUCGUUUUUCAUCAUCCGUAACUUUGAGAAGAUUUGGAGGGAUUGUGACUGAAAUGUCACAUGUACCCUCACUGUAUUGCACAUUUCCCUGCAUGUACAUACAACAUCCAUUCUGAAAAGCACAGAACCGAUUCCUUCCAGUAACCAUAAUUUAUUCCCAUCUUAACAUAAAUGUAAAAAUGGUAUUGCUACAAUAGUGGUUUGAAGAGGAAGAAUGAAGCACACCAUGAUGUAUUCAGUUACAGAAGAUGAUUAUUCGAUUACCCUUCAACAAGGAAAAUAGAAGGUUGGUGUAUUCGGUUCCAAGAAUGCGUAUUCGGUUCCUUUUCGUGAUGCUGCAUAUUUGGUUCCCCUUCCACAAUGCAUCAGUAUAUUCGGUUCCAGAGCGACGUGUGUUUAGUUCCAGUUUCAGCCAUGUUUAUUCUAUUCCCAGGUCGUGCAUUACAAUCGCAAGUUUAGUUCCAUGUUGCCUGCGCAAGCUUGGAGCUUCAAAAUCGUUGCAAGGUUGGACCAUGCCAUGACCAUGACCGUGACGAAGGUGGAGGAUGCAUCACUGUCCAGGCACCGCGUGAUGAAGUGAAAGAGUUCUGAAGGUAGUCGAGGUAAGUGAAGGUGUUGGAGUUAGGUGAAGCUUCGUCGAACUAGGUGAAGGUGUUGUCAAACUUGUACAGCUCACGAUAGACCUUUGUCAUGCACUUGUGAAGGUAGAGAUUUUUAUGAUGAAUUGAAGAUGAUUUACUCACAUUGAAAUAUUAAAAAAAAGUAUAUGAGUGGAUUCGUAAUCUGAGAUGAUGAGUCAUUUGAAUAGGGAUGGUGAACAACUACGUGCUGUUCUGCAUGGCAUUUGGGUGCAGUCCUUUUGGAUGUAUAUAGAUUGAGUAAUAAUACCAUGACACACUUUUACAUUCA